CUUGAAGCGGCUUACACUUCACACUUACAUAGGUGAUUCCUAAAUGUGUCAUCCCGUAGAUACACUAUUUGAUAUACCCCGUAUCAAACUUAGAAACCUUUUUCCUCUUUUUCAUAUUAGUUGGGGCAGUUUCAACUAUAUGUGCUCCCCCUAUGUUGAUCUCCCAUUUGCCUUUUUCUCCGCUGCCUUGUUAUCUUCCUCGAUUCUCAACCGGACNNNN
rnacentral:lncRNA from 1 species